rnacentral:lncRNA from 1 species
CAGGACAUUGCCAUUGUUGAUGGUGUGACAGCGCUAGGCUUCUGCGGCCGGGGCUAUUGUGCGAUGAGCGUGGUGGCACGAUGGUGGAGAAGAUGAAGGCGUCACAAUGACUUCGAACCCUUGCGCGAGAAGGAUACGCGAUUCUGGGUGCAGGGGAGGUUUUGAUGAGGAAAUGGUGGGUGUGGCGUCGUCGGCGGCGCCGAGACAGGAGGAGUUGGUGGCGCGGUGGCUGGGUUCGAAGAAGUGACUGGCGGUGCUCAAGGGAGGCGACCCCAACCCUUUUCAUGGCAAAAAUUUCCAAGCAGGUUCCCAAAUUAUGAAAUCAAGGGUUUUUGAAAUUCAACUAUCACAUUCUUAUACAUAUACCUACACACUUGCAAUUCAAUUAAUAGUGCAUUUUAUGUGUUAUAAUAAACCUUUUGUUAAUUUUUAAUGAAGAAAGCAAUGAUAAAAUUAUAACAUAGUUGUAACUAUUUCC